rnacentral:rRNA from 1 species
UGGCGGACGGGUGAGUAAUGUCUGGGAAACUGCCCGAUGGAGGGGGAUAACUACUGGAAACGGUAGCUAAUACCGCAUAACGUCGCAAGACCAAAGGGGGGGACCUUCGGGCCUCUUGCCAUCGGAUGUGCCCAGAUGGGAUUAGCUAGUAGGUGGGGUAACGGCUCACCUAGGCGACGAUCCCUAGCUGGUCUGAGAGGAUGACCAGCCACACUGGAACUGAGACACGGUCCAG